AGCAUAUCAAUAAGCGGAGGAAAAGAAACCAACAGGGAUUGCCUUAGUAACGGCGAGUGAAGCGGCAACAGCUCAAAUUUGAAAUCUGGCCCUUGGGUCCGAAUUGUAAUUUGUAGAGGAUGAUUUUGGUGCGGUAUCUUCCGAGUUCCUUGGAACAGGACGCCUUAGAGGGUGAGAGCCCCGUACGGUUGAAUGCCUAGCCUCUGUAAAUCUCCUUCGACGAGUCGAGUAGUUUGGGAAUGCUGCUCUAAAUGGGAGGUAAAUUUCUUCUAAAGCUAAAUAUUGGCCAGAGACCGAUAGCGCACAAGUAGAGUGAUCGAAAGAUGAAAAGCACUUUGAAAAGAGGGUUAAAUAGCACGUGAAAUUGUUGAAAGGGAAGGAUUUGUGACCAGACUUUUUCUGGGCGGAUCAUCCGGGGUUCUCUCCGGUGCACUUCGCCCAGUAAAGGCCAGCAUCGGUUUUCGGCGUGGGAUAAAAGCAGUAGGAAUGUGGCUCUCUACGGGGAGUGUUAUAGCCUAUUGUAUAAUACCGCGCUGGGGACCGAGGUUCGCGCUUCUGCAAGGAUGCUGGCGUAAUGGUUAUCAAUCACCCGUCUUGAAACACGGACCAAGGAGUCGAACAUUUGUGCGAGUGUUUGGGUGUUAAACCCUCACGCGUAAUGAAAGUGAACGGAGGUGAGAGCCCUUACGGGUGCAUCAUCGACCGAUCCUGAAGUUUUCGGAUGGAUUUGAGUAAGAGCAUAACUGUUCGGACCCGAAAGAUGGUGAACUAUGCGUGGAUAGGGUGAAGCCAGAGGAAACUCUGGUGGAGGCUCGCAGCGGUUCUGACGUGCAAAUCGAUCGUCAAAUCUGCGCAUGGGGCGAAAGACUAAUCGAACCAUCUAGUAGCUGGUUACCGCCGA
rnacentral:rRNA from 1 species